AGAGAUACGGUUUCCCCUUUGGGGCGGGUUCACAGGUGGUGCAUGGUUGUCGUCAGCUCGUGUCGUGAGAUGUUGGGUUAAGUCCCGCAACGAGCGCAACCCUCGUUCCAUGUUGCCAGCACGUAAUGGUGGGGACUCAUGGGAGACUGCCGGGGUCAACUCGGAGGAAGGUGAGGACGACGUCAAAUCAUCAUGCCCCUUAUGUCUUGGGCUUCACGCAUGCUACAAUGGCCGGUACAAUGGGUUGCGACACUGUGAGGUGGAGCUAAUCCCAAAAAGCCGGUCUCAGUUCGGAUUGGGGUCUGCAACUCGACCCCAUGAAGUCGGAGUCGCUAGUAAUCGCAGAUCAGCAACGCUGCGGUGAAUACGUUCCCGGGUCUUGUACACACCGA
rnacentral:rRNA from 1 species